UGGACGAAUCUCUGGUGUUCGGGUUGUCACGCCAGUGGCAUUGCCCGGUAGCUACAUUCGGACAGGAUAACCGCUGAAAGCAUCUAAGCGGGAAGCCCCAUCCAAGAUUAGAUUUCCCUUGAGCUUUAAGCUCACAUAAGGAACGUUGAAGACUACGACGUUGAUAGGCAAGGUGUGUAAGUGCAGUAAUGCAUUGAGCUAACUUGUACUAAUGAUCCGAGAGACUUGACCAUAUAACACCCAAACAGUU
rnacentral:rRNA from 1 species